AGCGAAUGCAGGCUACACAGCUAUCCCAGAAGCCAGAGCAGCAAGAGGGAGCGCUGCGCAGUGAUCCCUCUUGCUAUUCUGGCUUCUGGCUCAGCUGUGCAAAGACUCUUCAGGGCAGCUGGCUUCUGGGAUUCAGAAUUUUUUUCUUCUUGUUUUCCUCCUCCAAAAACUAGGUGCGUCUUAUGGUCUGGUGCGUCUUAUAUAGCGAAAAAUACAGUGCUGGCAAGAGUGGGGUGCAAAGGCCAGGGAUAGAAGAAUAUUGUUUGAGCAAGUGAAGGAACAACUGACAUGAGGCCUGGUUCCUAAAUCUGAUAUUAGAGUUACCUCUACACAAGAGGCUACAGAAUUCAGGAACCUUCUAUUUUCACGAUAAUGAGGUCUGUCUACUCGGUAGGUGUGGAUUGUGCCAUUGCUGGUGUUUCGAGGAUAAAAUGGCUCCCUUUCACCAGGCUCCCACGGAUUACGAUAACUUCAACCAGUCUGGGAGUUGUAGCUCAUCAACAUCUGGAGGGUCACUGAUUCCCACCCCCUGUUCUAGGCUAAAUUACCGCAUUUGAAGGCCGUCCUCAAAACUGCAGUGAGUCCCAAAUAUAGCUGCUAGGAUGCUACCUGGGACUGGGUGUUGGGUCACAUCUCACCGGUGCUUUAACAGGUAAAUUGACUCCUGGUUCAUUUUCUGGUUCAAAAUUCCAGUGCUGGCGAUAGUUUUUAAAUCCUUCUGUGUCUGGCAUGUAUGAAGGGUCCCCUCCACAUCAGCCUGCCCAAACAUUUCCCUCUUUAGAGGCCCUCGGGUGAGGUGGGGAGGUAACAAGAGAUUUCCCCAGGUGUUCCCCCAGAGAGGUUCACCUGGUGCCAGGUUGUUUUUAACGGUAGCAUAUAUUUUCAUUAAUGUUUCAUUCUUGAUUAAAAUCCAUCAUAUUUUAAAAGCUU